AGGCAACGCACUGGCCUGAGUGAGAUGGAGAGGAGGCAACCUGUGAACAAAUGCAAACCCCAAGGAAAGUCUCAGAUCUUUUAAAAUGAAAGAGAACCCCUCAGGAAGGGAGAGAUGUGCAGAGGCACAGCUGCUGCCAGCAGGGAGCUGCUCAUCAAGAGCUCCUCUGAAGGCAGACUGCAGCAAGGAGGAGCGCUGGCCUUUGGAGCACGGGGCUUCUGCUGGCACCAGGCACAUCCAUGACGGGAGGGCAAACAAGCACAUCUUGGGCUAGUAUUCCACUGUAAGAGGAUGACUUUCCUGGAUCUCUGCUGGUGGAGAAUGACCAGGAGCUGUGGGCGAAGCCAACUGACAGACCUGAAGGUAAUCUUCUGAGAAGCACACCCUGCACAGAAUCAUAGGAUCGUGGAAUCAUUUGAACUGGAAGGGACUUUUAAAGGCCACCUGGUCCAACCCCCCUGCAAUGAGCAGAGACACCUACAGCUCCAUCAGGUGCUCAGAGCUGUGUUCAGCCCCACUUUGCAUGUCUCCAGGAAUGGGGCAUCCCCUAUGAAAUGUAUAAAUAACUCUGAAACGUG
rnacentral:lncRNA from 1 species